rnacentral:rRNA from 1 species
UACAGAGGAUGCAAGUGUUAUCCGGAAUCACUGGGCGUAAAGCGUCUGUAGGUGGUCAAAUAAGUCAACUGUUAAAUCUUGAGGCUCAACCUCAAAAUCGCAGUCGAAACUAUUCGACUAGAGUAUAGUAGGGGUAAAGGGAAUUUCCAGUGGAGCGGUGAAAUGCGUAGAGAUUGGAAAGAACACCGAUGGCGAAGGCACUUUACUGGGCUAUUACUAACACUGAGAGACGAAAGCUAGGGUAGCAAAUGGG